AAAGCGAAAGUGAUACUGAACGACAACGGUGGGCAGGGCAAACCGAUAAAAAGAACCCACACGCGGUUAUAAACUUAAUUCAGAAGAAACGCUGUCCGAGAUUAGGGGAAUAAUUUCCUGUAUAAUCGGCAGUAGAAGGUUUCACUUUUAAUGAGCCGACGUUACUUUACUAGCUGUGUUUUUAAAGCGUUCCUACCAGUAAAUUAUACGAUAUAAUAAACGGCGUAUAUACCAGGAAUGAAGUGUAUAGCAAGGAUAUAUCACAAUCUAUGGCACGGUAUAACCAAAUAAUUAUCACAGCUGGAGACAUAACUGUCUAUAAAAUCUUAUUACAGAUUGAUCACACACAGCGUGGACAGGCCUCCACCUGAACAGAAGUGAUGGAAAACCCAAACCGAGGAGGGAGAAGGGGUCAGAGGGGCAGAGGGAGAGCCAACGCUGAGCACAGGAGAGGUGCUGGACCUGCUGAGGGAGAGCACAACAGGAGGCACAGCCCGGAGAGAGGAGGGAGAUGGAGAGGCAGGGGGGACAGGAGAGGAGGGAACAGGGGCCACCUGCCAGACAACUGGAGGGAAGAUGGGCAGAGAGAGAGGAGAGAGAGGGAGGGCGAUGCCAGGAGAGGAGGAG